GACGUAGGGCGCGAGCGUUGUCCGGAUUUAUUGGGCGUAAAGAGCUCGUAGGCGGCUCGUUGCGUCGGCUGUGAAAACCCGCAGCUCAACUGUGGGCUUGCAGCUGAUACGGGCGGGCUGGAGUUCGGUAGGGGAGGCUGGAAUUCCUGGUGUAGCGGUGAAAUGCGCAGAUAUCAGGAGGAACACCGAUGGCGAAGGCAGCUCGCUGGGACGGCACUGACGCUGAGACGCGAAAGCGUGGGGAGCAAACAGG
rnacentral:rRNA from 1 species